AAUUCGAUGGUACGCGAGGAACCUUACCAGGGCUUGACAUGUGCCGGAAGCGCACCGAAAGGUGCGUGCCGCUUGCGGCCGGCGCACAGGUGCUGCAUGGCUGUCGUCAGCUCGUGCUGUGAAGUGUUGGGUUAAGUCCCGCAACGAGCGCAACCCCUGCUGCCUGUUGCCACCACGAGAGGUGGGGACUCAGGCGGGACCGCCGGUGACAAACCGGAGGAAGUGGGGACGACGUCAAGUCAUCAUGGCCCUUAUGUCCUGGGCUACACACGUGCUACAAUGGCCGGUACAGAGCGCAGCGAGGCCGCGAGGCGGAGCGAAUCGCUUAAAGCCGGUCCCAGUACGGAUUGGAGUCUGCAACCCGACUCCAUGAAGUUGGAAUCGCUAGUAAUCGCGCAUCAGCAUGGCGCGGUGAAUACGUUCCCGGGCCUU
rnacentral:rRNA from 1 species